rnacentral:lncRNA from 1 species
CCCAGGGAGCUGGGGCCAGCUCGCUGCUCCAUUUCAUGUAGGAAAAGUUCAAUGGAAACACACUGAUUUUUUUCCAAAAUGAUAUGUUUUUUCAAAUUUCCUUUCUGCAGGACAUUGCAAGAUGUCUAGCUUUUGUUCCGACUGAGGACGAAAACCUUUUUGAAAUUUUGGAAUUUCUGAGUUUUGACCAGCUCUAGUUAUCGGUACCCUUGUUGGUUUAUCGUCCAGUGAUCGUGUUGUGAGAAACCUUCAUUUGACUCAUGUGUGCCUGCCCAUGCCACUUCUAAUGUCAUCAAGAAGUCCUCCCACCUUGUUGAACCACAACCUUCCAUCAGAGGGGCUUUGACCACAGUUAAGCACUUUUCACAAAUCUGCCUCCUGUUGUUGCUUCGAGCUCCUCCAUGUCAGGCCCUUGAGAGAGUCUCAACAAAGGUGCUCCAGCCCUGGAGCAGCCAUGGAGUCAGCACCUUUGAGUGGCUGGUUUCUCUGUGUCUCAGAGGUGGCAGCCCUUGAAGUUGACAGAAAAGACUUCACCUUGCAGGAUAAGGUGAUCGGAUGUCUGUUGGAUUUCUCUUCUUCAGGGUAACCUGAAAUAUGUCAUAAAUGCCAGUAGCAAAGAUGAAAUGCUUGGCAUUACCUCAAGAUCUUGCAGAGAGAAAUAUGUUUUCAACAGUGACAGGUGUAAAACAAUCAGCUUGAGAGGUUCCUGUGAUGUCUUCUUCAAAACAAAUUCCUCUGAAAGAUUUCCAUGAAGCCUCCCCACAAACAACAGUAAACAACACCUCUCACAGAACUUCAGGUAGCUGCUAAAGUACAAGUGUGGAAUUACUGAAUGGGAAAAGCGAGAAAUGGGAAAAAUUUGUUAUGUGGCUAAGUACUUGCAUAUCAAACAAUUAAACUCCAAUUAUAUUUGUUUUGCUUUUACUAAUGUACUCUAUCAAAUAGCGAGAAAGUACUAGUAUGAAAAAUGUUGAAAAAUAAGUGAUUAGAAGGAAACCUGCUUCCUGCCCUCCCACUCCCUUUUCCCCUCCCCCGCCCCAAAAAAGCCACAGUGGUCUCCUGAAAUGUCUAGCUUUUCUUAUUUUUCCUUUCAGUGGCAUAACAAGAGGAGAUAGCAGCCC